rnacentral:lncRNA from 1 species
UUUUUUAAAGGAGGGUAGAAUACCUGACCUAAUAAUGACUUCACGGAUCAGUUUGCAAGCAAGCUAACCAAAGAUAUUACCUUUACUUACACUCUCAUGGCAUUUUGCUUUAACAUCGUAUGGAAAAUAUUGCUACAUAGAAAGAAACCAAAAAAACAUUUCUUUGUAUAUUUAAUCUCUUACUGUAAUUAUUUUGUCGUUAUUUGAUUUAUUUAGUUUUAUUUUAUACUGUAAAUACAUAAUUGGGGACUGUAAAUAUCUAAUGACACAACUAUAAAUGAUGAUAUUUGAUAAAGAUUCAAAAAGGACGUACGAAUUAAACACACUUAAAUGUAAUGAUGGCAGUGACUUGAAGGGUUGUUACAAGAUUUUCUUAUGAGUAACGGGGAUACUGAGCUUAUGCCUUUCUUACUCAGAUAUUGCAUAUAUAUAUACUUUUGAAAAUUAAUUUAUAUUUAUUUUAAUAUUGAAAACAAUUAUAUGUAGAUAAACUAUAUGUGAAUGUGUAAUAUCAAAGACAUCAUUUGCAAGG